rnacentral:rRNA from 1 species
AGUGAACGCUGGCGGUAGGCCUAACACAUGCAAGUCGAACGGCAGCACAGUAAGAGCUUGCUCUUACGGGUGGCGAGUGGCGGACGGGUGAGGAAUACAUCGGAAUCUACUUUUUCGUGGGGGAUAACGUAGGGAAACUUACGCUAAUACCGCAUACGACCUACGGGUGAAAGCAGGGGAUCUUCGGACCUUGCGCGAUUGAAUGAGCCGAUGUCGGAUUAGCUAGUUGGCGGGGUAAAGGCCCACCAAGGCGACGAUCCGUAGCUGGUCUGAGAGGAUGAUCAGCCACACUGGAACUGAGACACGGUCCAGACUCCUACGGGAGGCAGCAGUGGGGAAUAUUGGACAAUGGGCGCAAGCCUGAUCCAGCCAUACCGCGUGGGUGAAGAAGGCCUUCGGGUUGUAAAGCCCUUUUGUUGGGAAAGAAAAGCAGCAGGUUAGUACCCCGGUGUUCUGACGGUACCCAAAGAAUAAGCACCGGCUAACUUCGUG